rnacentral:rRNA from 1 species
AACGAACGCUGGCGGCAGGCCUAACACAUGCAAGUCGAGCGAGGUUUUCGGACCUAGCGGCGGACGGGUGAGUAACGCGUGGGAAUAUGCCCUUCUCUACGGAAUAGCCUCGGGAAACUGGGAGUAAUACCGUAUGUGCCCUUCGGGGGAAAGAUUUAUCGGUAAAGGAUCGGCCCGCGUUGGAUUAGCUAGUUGGUGGGGUAAAGGCCUACCAAGGCGACGAUCCAUAGCUGGUCUGAGAGGAUGAUCAGCCACAUUGGGACUGAGACACGGCCCAAACUCCUACGGGAGGCAGCAGUGGGGAAUAUUGGACAAUGGGCGCAAGCCUGAUCCAGCCAUGCCGCGUGAGUGAUGAAGGCCUUAGGGUUGUAAAGCUCUUUCACCGAUGAAGAUAAUGACGGUAGUCGGAGAAGAAGCCCCGGCUAACUUCGUGCCAGCCGCCGCAGUAAUAC